rnacentral:rRNA from 1 species
AGAGUUUGAUCCUGGCUCAGAACGAACGCUGGCGGCAUGCCUAACACAUGCAAGUCGAACGAGACCUCACCUUCGGGUGAACGUCUAGUGGCGCACGGGUGCGUAACGCGUGGGAAUCUGCCCUUCGGUUCGGAACAACAGUUAGAAAUGACUGCUAAUACCGGAUGAUGACGUAAGUCCAAAGAUUUAUCGCCGAAGGAUGAGCCCGCGUAGGAUUAGCUAGUUGGUAAGGUAAAAGCUUACCAAGGCGACGAUCCUUAGCUGGUCUGAGAGGAUGAUCAGCCACACUGGGACUGAGACACGGCCCAGACUCCUACGGGAGGCAGCAGUGGGGAAUAUUGGACAAUGGGCGAAAGCCUGAUCCAGCAAUGCCGCGUGAGUGAUGAAGGCCUUAGGGUUGUAAAGCUCUUUUACCAGGGAUGAUAAUGACAGUACCUGAGAAUAGUCCGGUUUCCCCU